AGAUCAGGAAAAUCCGCUCUCCGGCCGCACCCUCGCGCGCCCCCGCCUGGCGGUGUAGAACAAACGGUCUGAGCGCUUGGCGGGCGCCUGAGAGCGGAGCGGGCGAGGCCGAGGAGCGGAGGCUGAAGCCGUGAGGAGCGGCCCGGCGAGGGCGAGGGGCGUGCGAGUGGGCGGCCGCGGCUCGCCUUUGGCCCUUCUCAUCAGGAUGAAAACGCUUCUGUUUGGUGUCUGGGCCCUGCUGGCCUUGAUCCUUUGCCCAGGGGUCCCGGAAGAGUUGUUUGAGGUUUCUAUUUGGCCAAGUCAGGCCCUGGUGGAGUUUGGACAGUCCCUAGUGGUCAACUGCAGCACUACUUGCCCAGACCCAGGACCCAGUGGAAUUGAGACCUUCUUAAAGAAAACUCAGGUGGGCAAAGGGCCUCAGUGGAAAGAGUUUCUUCUGGAGGAUGUCACAGAGAAUUCCAUCCUGCAGUGCUUCUUCUCUUGUGCAGGGAUUCAAAAGGACACAAGCCUUGGCAUCACUGUGUAUCAGCCACCAGAGCAAGUGAUCCUGGAGCUGCAGCCUGCCUGGGUGGCCGUGGACGAAGCCUUCACAGUGAAGUGUCAUGUACCCAGUGUAGCACCCUUGGAGAGUCUCACCCUUGCCCUUCUCCAGGGUAACCAAGAACUGCAUAGAAAGAACUUUACGAGGUUGGUUGUGGCCUCCCAAAGAGCUGAGGUCAUCAUCAGUGUCAGAGCCCAAAAGGAGAAUGACAGAUGCAAUUCUUCCUGCCAUGCAGAACUGGACUUGAGUUUGCAAGGUGGGAGGCUCUUUCAAGGCAGCUCACCCAUCAGAAUAGUCCGGAUCUUUGAAUUCUCUCAGAGUCCCCACAUCUGGGUCUCUUCCCUUUUGGAGGCUGGGAUGGCGGAGACUGUGAGCUGCGAGGUGGCUAGGUUGUUUCCAGCCAAAGAAGUUAUGUUCCACAUGUUCCUGGAAGACCAAGAGCUGAGCUCCUUCCUUUCCUGGGAGGGGGACACAGCAUGGGCCAAUGCUACCAUUCGGACCAUGGAGGCUGGUGAUCAGGAACUGUCUUGCUUUGCAUCUCUGGGUCCAAUGGAACAGAAGACAAGAAAGCUAGUGCAUAGCUACAGCUUCCCUCCACCAAUCCUGGAGCUAAAAGAAUCAUACCCAUUGGCAGGGACCGACAUUAAUGUGACCUGCUCAGGGCAUGUAUUAACAUCACCCAGCCCUACUCUUCGGCUUCAGGGAGCCCCAGACCUCCCUGCCCCUGGGGAGCCUGCCUGGCUUCUACUUACUGCCAGGGAGGAAGAUGAUGGCUGAAAUUUCUCCUGCGAGGCCUCUUUGGUGGUGCAGGGUCAGCGGUUGAUGAAAACCACUGUGAUCCAGCUCCAUAUCCUAUACAAGCUACGGUUAGAGGAAUCCAGUUGCCCUGGCAAACAGACCUGGCUGGAAGGGAUGGAACACACGCUCGCCUGCGUCCCAAAGGGAAACCCAGCUCCAGCCUUGGUGUGUACCUGGAAUGGGGUGGUCUUUGACCUUGAAGUGCCACAGAAGGCAACCCAGAACCACACUGGAACCUACUGCUGCACAGCCACUAACCAGCUGGGCUCUGUCAGCAAAGACAUUGCUGUCAUUGUUCAAGGACUGGAUGAAGGAAUCAGCUCUACCCUCUUUGUCAUUAUUACUGUUACGUCUGGAGUGGGUGUCAUCACCAUAGCACUGUAUUUGAGCUAUCGGCCCUGCAAAGUGGACAGGAGGAAAUUGCUCUAUAGGCAGAAAGAGGAGGACAAAGAGGAGGAAAGCCAGUUUGCUGUUCAGGAAGAGAAAAGUACAACUCAUAUAAUUGACAGCUAUUUGAUUGAAUGAGAGUUGUGCUACUGUGGUUUCCCAGGGAGGGAAGAAGGGAUAGAGGAGAAAGGAAGAAACACAAUGGCAGGCUGCAUUCCCCUUUGUGUACGUCUGUCCUGUAAAACGGUGUUUCAGGCCCCCAUGCCCCAUGUCCUGUGUGUCCAAUAUGUCCACAAGCUCACCUUUCUCUCUCUCUCUCUUUUUUUUUUUUUUUUUUGAGAUGGAGUCUCGCUGUUGUCGCCUAGGCUGGAGUGCAAUGAUGCGAUCUCGGCUCACUGCAACUUCAGCUUCCUGGGGUUCAGGUGAUUCUCCUGCCUCAGCCUCCCCAGCAGCUGGGAUUACAGGUGCAUACCACCAUGCCUGUCUAAUUUUUGUAUUUUUCGUAGAGAUGGAGUUUCACCAUGUUGACCAGGCUGGUCUCAAACUCCUGACCUCAAGUGAUCCGCCCACCUUGGCCUCCCAAAAUGCUGGGAUUACAGGUGUGAGCCUCUGCACCCAGCCACCUUUCUCUUUAGAGCUCACUCUAGUCAUUAAGAAUCUCAGUCUCAAUGUUUGAUUUGUAAGAAGGCCUCUUGCUCCUUGCCAGGUGCUUCAUCAGUCCACUCUUAGAUACAAAAAAAAGAUCCUGCUGUUUCUUUAUGGUUCCCACUGCCCUUUUCUCUUAAACAUCAUACUAAAGUCAGGCACAUCUUAGAAAUGCAACUCAUAUUUCAUGGUUUUCUGAUGACUAACCUGGAACUAAAUUUGUAGUCCAGGGACAGGACUUUGAAGGGAGUAAGUAUCAAAUAUGGGGCUAGGAAUCAGAGCUCUGUUCCCAUCUCCACUUUCCCUUGCUCCCCUGACCUGGGCUUCUGGAGGGCCAGCUCCCAGAGCUGAGCUUGUUGACAUCAUUAAGGAUCAGUGGCAAGCUUCAACUCAGUAACCAACUGUUGUGCGUCUUGGGGGAGUAUACAGAUGGUAAGAAAUUCCACUUUGGGCCAGACAAGCAUCCUAUCUAGCCCAGUGUUCUGUCUCUGAAGUAGAAGGUAGAGUUCUUCCAUGAAAUUGGCCUCAUAGGUUAAGAGCUCCAAACAUCUCUGAAUUCCUUUUCAUAGAGUGAUCAACUGUGAGUUCGCAUUUGUCAGUUUUUUUUUUUUACCCAUGUGGGUGUCUAGGUUAGAGUUGCAAUGUUUACUCUCCCUUUUCAUCAAUAAGGACAUAUUUUCUUCUGUCUGUAAGCAAUUUCCUUGAAGCUUCAAGAAGAAUCCUCUUGUGAAAAUGUUCAUAUGAUUUUAUGAUUCUGCUUCCUUCCCUGUCCUUGGGAAAGAGUAUAUUCACCCUCAGAGAAGGCGUGAGGAAUCACAAAACCAGAUCUUUUCUCCCAAAUCAGUCAAGAAAUGUUCACUGGAAUGUUGCUAUGGUAAAAAUAAAAGUGGUUUUAUGAUGUCCAAA